rnacentral:lncRNA from 1 species
AUGCUGAAAGGACUGGAAGCAAUAAAUUAUUCCUCCAAGCUCUACUCUGAAACAAGGGAGUCCAAAUUCAUAAAAAAUGCCAGUGCCAGAGCUUUUGUUUUCACUUGCCUCAGUCUACUGUGAAACCAUGUGGACAGCAUUUUAAACCAGUAUGAAAUAAAGAGAGAAGAAUGCAACCA